GACGAACGCUGGCGGCGUGCCUAAUACAUGCAAGUCGAGCGCAGGAAAUCGACGGAACCCUUCGGGGGGAAGUCGACGGAAUGAGCGGCGGACGGGUGAGUAACACGUAAAGAACCUGCCCUCAGGUCUGGGAUAACCACGAGAAAUCGGGGCUAAUACCGGAUGGGUCAUCGGACCGCAUGGUCCGAGGAUGAAAGGCGCUUCGGCGUCGCCUGGGGAUGGCUUUGCGGGGCAUUAGCUAGUUGAUGGGGUAAUGGCCCACCAAGGCGACGAUGCAUAGCCGACCUGAGGGGCUGAUCGGCCACACUGGGACUGAGACACGGCCCAGACUCCGACUGGAGGCAGCAGUAGGUAAUCUUCCACAAUGGACGAAAAUCUGAUGGAGCAACGCCGCGUGAACGAUGAAGGCCUUCGGGUCGUAAAGUUCUGUUGUAAGGGAAGAACAAGUGCCGCAGGCAAUGGCGGCACCUUGACGGUACCUUGCGAGAAAGCCACGGCUAACUACGUGCCAGCCGCCGCAGUAA
rnacentral:rRNA from 1 species